AUUGAACGCUGGCGGUAUGCUUUACACAUGCAAGUCGAACGGUAGAGGGGCAACCCUUGAGAGUGGCGAACGGGUGAGUAAUACAUCGGAACGUGCCCAGUCGUGGGGGAUAACGUAGCGAAAGCUGCGCUAAUACCGCAUACGACCUGAGGGUGAAAGCGGGGGACCUGCAAGGGCCUCGCGCGAUUGGAGCGGCCGAUGGCAGAUUAGGUAGUUGGUGAGGUAAAGGCUCACCAAGCCGACGAUCUGUAGCUGGUCUGAGAGGACGACCAGCCACACUGGGACUGAGACACGGCCCAGGCUCCUACGGGAGGCAGCAGUGGGGAAUUUUGGACAAUGGGCGCAAGCCUGAUCCAGCCAUACCGCGUGCAGGAAGAAGGCCUUCGGGUUGUAAACUGCUUUUGUCAGGGAAGAAAUCUUCUGGGCUAAUACCCUGGGAGGAUGACGGUACCUGAAGAAUAAGCACCGGCUAACUACGUGCCAGCCGCCGCGGAAGAC
rnacentral:rRNA from 1 species